rnacentral:tRNA from 1 species
GGGCCAUAGCUUAGCUGGUAAAGCGCCUGCCUUGCAAGCAGGAGAGCAGGAGUUCGAUUCUCCUUGGCUCC